rnacentral:rRNA from 1 species
UACGGCCUACGGGGGGCAGCAGUCGGGAAUAUUGCACAAUGGAGGAAACUCUGAUGCAGUGACACCGCGUAUAGGAAGAAGGUUUUCGGAUUGUAAACUAUUUUAGACAGGGAAGAAAAAAGACAGUACCUGUAGAAUAAGCUCCGGCUAACUACGUGCCAGCAGCCGCGGUAAUACGUAGGUGGCAAGCGUUAUCCGGAUUUACUGGGUGUAAAGGGCGUGUAGGCGGGAAAGCAAGUCAGAUGUGAAAACCAUGGGCUCAACCUGUGGCCUGCAUUUGAAACUGUUUUUCUUGAGUACUGGAG